rnacentral:lncRNA from 7 species
GUUCUGGUAUCGGUUCUGAGUGUGUUGUUGGGUCCCAGAGAGGUUCUGAUGGCGGAUGGGAGGGCAGAGUCCGGAUUGGACCCGAGGCUGAGCCCGAUAUCGGUUCUGGUAUCGGUUCUGAGGCCAAUGUUGGGUCCCAGAGAGGUUCUGAUGGUGGGUGGGAGGGAAGAGUCCGGAUUGGACCCGAGGCUGAGUCCGAUAUCGGUUCCGGUAUCGGUUCUGAGGCCAAUGUUGGGUCCCAGAGAGGGUCCAAUGCUGGGUUGGAGGGCAGAGUCUGAGUUGGGACCGAGGCUGAGUCCAAUAGUGGUUCUGGUAUCGGUUCCGAGUCUGUUGUUGGGUCCCAGAGAGGUUCCGAUGGUGGGUGGGAGGACAGAGUCUGGAUUGGACCCGAGGCUGAGUCCGAUAUCGGUUCCGGUAUCGGUUCUGAGGCCAAUGUUGGGUCCCAGAGAGGGUCCAAUGCUGGGUUGGAGGGCAGAGUCCGGGUCAGGACCGAGGCUGAGCCCAAUGCCGGUUCCGGUAUCGGUUCCGAGUCUGAUGUUGGUUCCGAGGGCGAAACCGAGGGCGGAUCCGAUGCCGGUACCAACAGUGAGACCAAUGGCGGCACCGACAUCCGGUUCUGGAGUGGAGCUGCUGGACCCGAUGGUGGUUCCGAGACCCAAAGCGAUACCAGAACCGACACCGGCGCUGAGGUUGGGUCGAACGGCGGUACCGUUGGCUGCGGUGCUGAGUCCAAUUCCGGUAUCGGAUCCAAGAGGAGAACCAAUGUUGGUACCGAUACCGGCUCUGACAGCGAGUCCAGAACCGGAUUGAAGGGUAGGACCAACAUCGGUACCGACACUGGUUCCGACAGCCAGUCCAGAACCGGAUCCAAGAGGAGAGCCAAUGUUGGUACCGACACCGGCUCCCAUGGAGAGUCCAGAACCGGAUCCAGGAGGAGAGCCAGUGUUGGUACCGACAGUGGCUCCCAUAGAGAGUCUAGAACCGGAUCCAGGAGUAGAACCAACGUUGGUACCGACACCGGCUCCAAUAGCGAGUCCAGAACCGGAUCCAGGAGGAGAACCAACGUUGGUACCGACACCGGCUCCCAUAGCGAGUCCAGAUCCAAGAGGAGAGCCAGUGUUGGUACCAACACCGGCUCCCAUAGCGAGUCCAGAACCAGAUCCAAGAGGAGAGCCAGUGUUGGUACCGAUAGCGGCUCCCAUAGCGAGUCCAGAACCGGAUCCAGGAGGAGAACCAAUGCUGACACCGACACCGGCUCCAACAGCGAGUCCAGAACCGGAUCCAGGAGUUGAACCAACGUUGGUACCGACACCGGCUCCCAUGGCGAGUCCAGAACCGGAUCCAAGAGUGGAGCCAAUGUUGGUACCAACACCGACUCCCAUAGCGAGUCCAGAACCGGAUCCAGGGGUAGAACCAACGCUGGCACCGACACCGGCUCCAACAGCGAGUCCAGAACCGGAUCCAGGAGGAGAGCCAAUGUUGGCACCGACACCGGCUCCAAUAGUGAGUCCAGAUCCAAGAGUGGAGCCAACGUUGGUACCGAUAGCGGCUCCAACAGCGAGUCCAGAACCGGAUCCAAGAGGAGAGCCAAUGCUGACACUGACACCGGCUCCAACAGUGAGUCCAGAACCGGAUCCAAGAGGAGAGCCAAUGUUGGCACCGACACCGGCUCCAAUAGUGAGUCCAGAUCCAAGAGUGGAGCCAACGUUGGUACCGAUAGCGGCUCCCAUGGCGAGUCCAGAACCGGAUCCAGGAGUAGAACCAACAUUGGUACUGAUAGCGGCUCCAACAGUAAGUCCAGAACCGGAUCCAAGAGUGGAGCCAAUGUUGGUACCAACACCGGCUCCCAUGGCGAGUCCAGAACCGGAUCCAAGAGGAGGGUCAACAUUGACCCCAACGCCAAUCCCAAAGCCAUGGCCAACACCGGAUACAAGAGGAUGGUCCACAUUGUCCGUGGUUCCGAUCCGAAGGCCGUGUCCCACAUUGGAUCCAAGAGGAGGGUCCACAUUGGCCGUGGUUCCGAUCCCAAAGCCGUGUCCCACAUUGGAUCCAAGAGGAGGGUCAACAUUGACCCCAAUACCGAUCCCAAAGCCGUGGCCAACACCG